CGAUCGUUGUUCAAUUGUUCCGGCCGACAUUUCGACUCCGUCCUUGAUUCAUUAAUGUAAAGAGGUAGCGGUGAUAGCUCCUUCUGGUUUUUUGGUCGCGGUAUUUUCUGUAUUUUCAAGAAUUCUCGGAGUAUUGGAGACAAGUUGGGCGCACGAGCACUGGCAAAGGAGAGCAACCUGGGCGAGUGUCAGCAAGUGGGCGGAAGCGUACAACUACAUCGAGCACAGCAAAUCAGCCACAGGUUUUGUUAUCGGGAAUUGCAGGUGUGCUGGAGAAUGUGAGCUCAACGAAAAAAUCUAACUCAAAGAGCAGAUGUUCCAGUUCAAACAGUCAAGAGGAGAAGUGCAAGAAUAGUGCGGUCAGCAGAAUUUCAUCUGCGGCCGCAAAAGCAAAUGCGACCCAAAUGCGACCUUAGACAAUGAUAUGCAGACGCAGAAGGAGCUCUGAAGCUUCAGAGGAUUUUGGCAGCAGCGCGGUUUGUACACCAAAAAGUGCGGUCACAUUUGAAGCUCGCCCUGUCAAAACCUGAGACAUCAAAGAAGAUGUAAUAGGACAAGUCUAAAGCCUACUUAAAGUGCAGCCGCAGCGAAAUUGUGCGAUCGCAGAAGCUGAAGUGCUACCGCAGAAGCUUAUGCGCGGUCGUAGAAUCUCUUCAUCUGAAAGCACCUGCAAGAGCAAAAUUCCAAAGUGUCGACCGCAUACGUAAUUGUGUGGCCGCAAAACCCUCCGAAGGGUAUUUUUGUCAGCAAAUUCCAGAGCACUAUAAAUAGACGAGGAACACUUUUUUAGGGCAACUUUUUUGUCUUGUAGCAGCUGCUAGCUAUUAUAUUUAGCCAUUUUGGACAAUUUGGAGCAACAAUUAGAGAAGACCCAUUAAUUUACUCUUUAAUUCUAGUUUUAUGUCUUUAAUUACUUCUUUAUUUUUUUUUCAUGUCAAUGAUUAUGAGUAGAGUUGUGAUCUAACCCUAGUGUGUAAAACUUAUGAGUGUUUAAUAUUAGUGCUUGCUAUUGAU